UGCCAGCAGCCGCGGUAAUACGGAGGGUGCGAGCGUUGUUCGGAAUCACUGGGCGUAAAGCGCGUGUAGGCGGCGCUGUAAGUCGGAUGUGAAAGCCCUCGGCUCAACCGAGGAAGUGCAUCCGAUACUGCAGUGCUCGAAUCUCGGAGGGGGUGGUGGAAUUCCUGGUGUAGAGGUGAAAUUCGUAGAUAUCAGGAGGAACACCGGUGGCGAAGGCGACCACCUGGCCAAAUACUGACGCUGAGGUGCGAAAGCGUGGGGAGCAAACAGGAUUAGAUA
rnacentral:rRNA from 1 species